AUUGAACGCUGGCGGCAGGCCUAACACAUGCAAGUCGAGCGGAGCGGCGGACGGGGGAGUAAUGCCUAGGAAUCUGCCUGGUCGUGGUGGAUAACGUUCGGAAACGGGCGCUAAUACUGCAUACUAUCAGAUGAGCCUAGAUCGGAUUAGCUAGUGGGUGGGGUAAAGGCCUACAAAGGCGACGAUCCCUAACUGGUCUGAGAGGAUGAUCAGUCACACUGGAACUGAGACACGGUCCAGACUCCUACGGGAGGCAGCAGUGGGGAAUAUUGGACAAUGGGCGAAAGACUGAUCCAGCCAUGCCGCGUGUGUGAAGAAGGUCUUCGGAUUGUAAAGUACUUUCAGUUGGGAGGCGUUACCAACAGAAUAAGCACCGGCUAACUCCGUGCCAGCCGCCGCGGUAAUUC
rnacentral:rRNA from 1 species